rnacentral:rRNA from 1 species
CCUACGGGUGGCAGCAGUCGAGAAUCAUUCACAAUGGGGGAAACCCUGAUGGUGCGACGCCGCGUGGGGGAAUGAAGGUCUUCGGAUUGUAAACCCCUGUCAUGUGGGAGCAAAUUAAAAAGAUAGUACCACAAGAGGAAGAGACGGCUAACUCUGUGACAGCAGCCGCGGUACUACAGAGGUCUCAAGCGUUGUUCGGAAUCACUGGGCGUAAUGCGUGCGUAGGCUGUUGCGUAAGUCGUGUGUGAAAGGCGCGGGCUCAACCCGCGGACGGCACUUGAUACUGCGAGACUAGAGUAAUGGAGAGGGAAGCGGAAUUCGCGGUGUAGCAGUGAAAUGCGUAGAUAUCGAGAGGAACACUCGUGGCGAAGGCGGGUUCCUGGACAUUAACUGACGCUGAGGCACGAAGGCCAGGGGAGCGAAAGGGAUUAGAUACCCGAGUAGUC